AGAAUCAACGCUGGCGGCGUGCCUAACACAUGCAAGUCGAACGAGAAAGUGGGAGCAAUCCCACGAGUAAAGUGGCGCACGGGUGAGUAACACGUGACUAACCUACCCUUGAGUGGGGGAUAACCUAGGGAAACCUGGGCUAAUACCGCAUAAUACCUACGGGUCAAAGGAGCAAUUCGCUUUAGGAGGGGUCGCGGCAGAUUAGUUAGUUGGCGGGUAAUGGCCCACCAAGACAGUGAUCUGUA
rnacentral:rRNA from 1 species